rnacentral:rRNA from 1 species
UCCUGGCUUAGGAUGAACGCUAGCGGCAGGCCUAAUACAUGCAAGUCGAACGGGAGGGCCCCUCGGGGGCUCGAGAGUGGCGCACGGGUGCGUAACGCGUAUGCAACCAACCCCGCACUGGGGGACAGCCGGUGGAAACGCCGGGUAAUACCCCAUGCCGACAUUCGGGGACAUCCCGGGGUGUCGAAAGCAGCGAUGCGGUGCGGGACGGGCAUGCGUCCCAUUAGGUAGACGGCGGGGUAACGGCCCACCGUGCCUGCGAUGGGUAGGGGAUCUGAGAGGACGGUCCCCCACACUGGUACUGAGACACGGACCAGACUCCUACGGGAGGCAGCAGUAAGGAAUAUUGGGCAAUGGGGGGAACCCUGACCCAGCCAUGCCGCCGUGAGGGAUGUAGGCCCUACGGGUCGUGAACCUCUUUUGCCGGGGGACAACCGCGGAGUCGCGAACUCCGCCUGCGGGUACCCGGCGAAUAAGCAUCGGCUAACUCCGUGCCAGCAGCAGC